rnacentral:rRNA from 1 species
GACGAACGCUGGCGGCGUGCUUAACACAUGCCAGUCGAACGGAAAGGCCCUGCUUUUGUGGGGUGCUCGAGUGGCGAACGGGUGAGUAACACGUGAGUAACCUGCCCUUGACUUUGGGAUAACUUCAGGAAACUGGGGCUAAUACCGGAUAGGAGCUCCUGCUGCAUGGUGGGGGUUGGAAAGUUUCGGCGGUUGGGGAUGGACUCGCGGCUUAUCAGCUUGUUGGUGGGGUAGUGGCUUACCAAGGCUUUGACGGGUAGCCGGCCUGAGAGGGUGACCGGCCACAUUGGGACUGAGAUACGGCCCAAACUCCUACGGGAGGCAGCAGUGGGGAAUAUUGCACAAUGGGCGGAAGCCUGAUGCAGCAACGCCGCGUGCGGGAUGACGGCCUUCGGGUUGUAAACCGCUUUCGCCUGUGACGAAGCGUGAGUGACGGUAAUGGGUAAAGAAGCACCGGCUAACUACGUG